UACAGAGGGUGCAAGCGUUAAUCGGAAUUACUGGGCGUAAAGCGUGCGUAGACGGUUACAUAAGUCGGGUGUGAAAGCCCCGGGCUCAACCUGGGAAUUGCAUUCGAGACUGCGUAGCUAGGGUGCGGAAGAGGGGAGCGGAAUUUCUGGUGUAGCGGUGAAAUGCGUAGAUAUCAGAAGGAACAUCAGUGGCGAAAGCGGCUUCCUGGUCCAGCACCGACGUUCAGGCACGAAAGCGUGGGGAGCAAACAGG
rnacentral:rRNA from 1 species